CCUACGGGUGGCAGCAGUGAGGAAUAUUGGUCAAUGGACGAGAGUCUGAACCAGCCAAGUAGCGUGAAGGAUGACUGCCCUAUGGGUUGUAAACUUCUUUUAUAUGGGAAUAAAAUGUUCCACGUGUGGGAUUUUGUAUGUACCAUAUGAAUAAGGAUCGGCUAACUCCGUGCCAGCAGCCGCGGUAAUACGGAGGAUCCGAGCGUUAUCCGGAUUUAUUGGGUUUAAAGGGAGCGUAGGUGGAUUGUUAAGUCAGUUGUGAAAGUGUGCGGCUCAACCGUAAAAUUGCAGUUGAAACUGGCAGUCGUGAGUACAGUAGAGGUGGGCGGAAUGCGUGGUGUAGCGGUGAAAUGCUUAGAUAUCACGAAGAACUCCGAUUGCGAAGGCAGCUCACUGGGCUGCAACUGACACUGAGGCUCGAAAGUGUGGGUAUCAAACAGGAUUAGAUACCCCUGUAGUC
rnacentral:rRNA from 1 species